GUGGGGAAUAUUGGACAAUGGGCGCAAGCCUGAUCCAGCCAUGCCGCGUGAGUGAUGAAGGCCCUAGGGUUGUAAAGCUCUUUCAGUGGGGACGAUAAUGACGGUACCCACAGAAGAAGCCCCGGCUAACUUCGUGCCAGCAGCCGCGGUAAUACGAAGGGGGCUAGCGUUGCUCGGAUUUACUGGGCGUAAAGCGCACGUAGGCGGAUCGUUAAGUCGAGGGUGAAAUCCUGGAGCUCAACUCCAGAACUGACUUCGAUACUGGCGAUCUUGAGUCCGGAAGAGGUGAGUGGAACUCCUAGUGUAGAGGUGGAAUUCGUAGAUAUUAGGAAGAACACCAGUGGCGAAGGCGGCUCACUGGUCCGGUACUGACGCUGAGGUGCGAAAGCGUGGGGAGCAAACAGGAUUAGAUACCCGUGUAGUCC
rnacentral:rRNA from 1 species